rnacentral:rRNA from 1 species
UACGAAGGGAGCUAGCGUUGUUCGGAAUCACUGGGCGUAAAGCGCACGUAGGCGGAUUUGUCAGUCAGGGGUGAAAUCCCGGGGCUCAACCUCGGAACUGCCUUUGAUACAGCAAGUCUUGAGUUCGAGAGAGGUGGGUGGAAUUCCUAGUGUAGAGGUGAAAUUCGUAGAUAUUAGGAAGAACACCGGUGGCGAAAGCGGCCCACUGGCUCGAUACUGACGCUGAGGUGCGAAAGCGUGGGGAGCAAACAGGG